UUUCACGAUCGUGGCAACGUGGUACUAGGUGUCCAACCCACAGCCGCGAAGAUUUCAGUUUUUGUCACUGUCGAAAAUAGUCAGUUGACGUCGAAAAGUAGAAUUUUCAACGUGGCUAAUGGCAAGAAUGUCCAGCCAGAUCUGCACUUUAUUGUUCUGUACCUCAUAUUACUGUUGCAUCUGAUAUUGUCUUUCAUGCUGGCCUACUAUAUUCCUGCAAUUAGCCAAAUUUAAAAUUCUAGUUUUUGAUAUUUUCUGAAAAGGAAGACAUAGCAGGAGCUCAACAUCCAAUAGUCUACAUGAUAAUUGUCUCCAUCAACAGUAAGCUCCAAUCAAGAAUAAGCGGACAAUCUUGAUGUCACAGACAAAAAAGGAAUAAGGACUUUGAAAAGCAAACCAAGAGGCUAUUUAUUGGCUGUCUGACAAUUGCUUGUAUUUAAUCUCAUAAGAUCAGCCAAAUUUUACUUGUUUUUUAUUUAAUUUUUGUUUCAAGGACUCAUCUCACGAGUAGAAUAAAGAUAGAAAUAACGUUCCAACUGUAAAAAAGGGAGACAAACGAAUAGGUGGGUGGCAUGAUGACCGGUAUCUAAAUCGUAAAAAUGGAUGACAAUAACAGGUAAAAAAAAAGUUGAUAGAUAGAAUAAUAUGUACAUUAUGAAGAAGUUGCUGUUUUGUGUGGAUGAUAAUUGUUAACAAUUCAAGUUAUCUAAUGAAAGUUUUUGCACCCAAACAUGCAAGCCACACACACUCUAUCAGAGAGAAAGGAAAUUGUUACUGAAAAAUGGCGGUCCCUUUGUGAAAACAGUAGCAGUAUUCGCUAAUCUGUGAUUGAAUGAGAAAAAUAGUAAUAAGCCAUGCAAAUUUGUGUGUGUGUA